rnacentral:rRNA from 1 species
GAUGAACGCUGGCGGCGUGCCUAAUACAUGCAAGUCGAGCGAACAGACGAGGAGCUUGCUCCUCUGACGUUAGCGGCGGACGGGUGAGUAACACGUGGAUAACCUACCUAUAAGACUGGGAUAACCUCGGGAAACCGGAGCUAAUACCGGAUAAUAUAUUGAACCGCAUGGUUCAAUAGUGAAAGACGGUUUUGCUGUCACUUAUAGAUGGAUCCGCGCCGCAUUAGCUAGUUGGUAAGGUAACGGCUUACCAAGGCAACGAUGCGUAGCCGACCUGAGAGGGUGAUCGGCCACACUGGAACUGAGACACGGUCCAGACUCCUACGGGAGGCAGCAGUAGGGAAUCUUCCGCAAUGGGCGAAAGCCUGACGGAGCAACGCCGCGUGAGUGAUGAAGGUCUUCGGAUCGUAAAACUCUGUUAUUAGGGAAGAACAAAUGUGUAAGUAACUAUGCUCGUCUUGACGGUACCUAAUCAGAAAGCCACGGCUAACUACGUG